AGAGUUUGAUCCUGGCUCAGGAUGAACGCUGACAGAAUGCUUAACACAUGCAAGUCUACUUGAUCCUUCGGGUGAUGGUGGCGGACGGGUGAGUAACGCGUAAAGAACUUGCCUUGCAGUCUGGGACAACGUCUGGAAACGGACGCUAAUACCGGAUAUUAUGGUUGAAUCGCAUGAUUUGAUUAUGAAAGCUAUAUGCGCUGCGAGAGAGCUUUGCGUCCCAUUAGUUAGUUGGUGAGGUAACAGCUCACCAGGACGAUGAUGGGUAGCCGGCCUGAGAGGGUGAACGGCCACAAGGGGACUGAGACACGGCCCUUACUCCUACGGGAGGCAGCAGUGGGGAAUAUUGGACAAUGGACCAAAAGUCUGAUCCAGCAAUUCUGUGUGCACGAUGAAGUUUUUCGGAAUGUAAAGUGCUUUCAGUUGGGAAGAAGAAAGUGACGGUACCAACAGAAGAAGCGACGGCUAAAUACGUGCCAGCAGCCGCGGUAAUACGUAUGUCGCAAGCGUUAUCCGGAUUUAUUGGGCGUAAAGCGCGUCUAGGCGGUUUGGUAAGUCUGAUGUGAAAAUGCGGGGCUCAACUCCGUAUUGCGUUGGAAACUGCCAAACUAGAGUACUGGAGAGGUAGGCGGAACUACAAGUGUAGAGGCGAAAUUCGUAGAUAUUUGUAGGAAUGCCGAUGGGGAAGCCAGCCUACUGGACAGAUACUGACGCUAAAGCGCGAAAGCGUGGGUAGCAAACAGGAUUAGAUACCCUGGUAGUCCACGCCGUAAACGAUGAUUACUUGGUGUUUGGGGGUCGAACCUCAGCGCCC
rnacentral:rRNA from 1 species